GGUUCGGGGAGGCUGGUCCUACGGCCCUGGAUUCGGGAGCUGAUUCUGGGGUCAGAGACACCCUCCAGUCCACGAGCCGGGCAGCUGCUUGAGGUGAGCCCCCAUUCAGGGCCCGGAGACCGAGGCGGAGGCCCGGGGUGGUGGGAUUGACGCCGCUCGCCGCCGUCAGGUACUACAGGACGCCGAGGCCGCGGUCGCGGGCCCAUCCCACGCCCCUGAUACGUCCGACGUCGGGGCCACGCUGCUUGUGUCUGACGGGACCCACAGUGUCCGAUGCCUGGUGACGCGGGAGGCCCUGGACACCUCGGACUGGGAGGAGAAGGAGUUCGGCUUCCGCGGGACAGAGGGCCGGCUGCUGCUGCUGCAGGACUGCGGGGUUCAUGUCCAGGUCGCUGAGGGCGGCGCGCCCGCAGAGUUCUAUCUCCAGGUGGACCGCUUCAGCCUGCUGCCCACGGAGCAGCCCCGGCUACGGGUGCCUGGUUGCAACCAAGACUUAGAUGUUCAGAAAAAGCUCUAUGACUGCCUUGAGGAGCACCUUUCAGAGUCCACCUCGUCCAAUGCAGGCCUAUCACUGUCCCAGCUUCUGGAUGAAAUGCGGGAGGACCAGGAGCAUCAGGGGGCACUCGUGUGCCUGGCUGAAAGCUGCCUGACACUGGAGGGCCCUUGCACAGCACCCCCUGUCACCCACUGGGCUGCCUCACGAUGCAAGGCCACGAGUUCAUGUCCCACAGGGAGAAGCUGUGUACACUGUCCCCAGCUCAAUGCUGUGCAUCUCUGAGAAUGACCAGCUAAUUCUGAGCUCUCU
rnacentral:lncRNA from 1 species